UCUGGCUACUUCAUAACUCAAGACUCUGCC
rnacentral:piRNA from 1 species